CCCAGCAGUUCCUUAUUUGUAGAAGAACAAAAUCAAAAAACAAAAACAAUCCCAAUAAUAGAUUAUUCACAUGUGGAGAGGACACCAACUGAAUAUCGCAAUGUCACCAAACUUGAUGACGCACACUUUAUACAUACGAGGCCAUUCUUGUUUCUAGCCUUUGUCAUUCUUACAAGCCCCUCUCUCUCUUUGGGGGUAUUUCUUCUGUGAAUUUUCUUUGACAAUUGAUUUAAGUGGAGUUUGCCAUGGAAAAAGAUAAAGAAACAGCAAAAACCAGCCAAAGUGGAGGUACAAAAGAAUCGAAUGGAUAUGAUGAGAAGGUCCCACUCUGCAAGCUGUUCACUUUCGCAGACAAGGUCGAUGUAGUCUUGAUGAUUGUAGGCACAGUAUCUGCCAUUGCCAAUGGACUAUCUCAGCCUCUCAUGGCUCUCAUUUUUGGCCAACUUAUCAACUCUUUUGGCACUGCAGACCAAUCCAGUGUCGUGGAUACUGUGUCAAAGAUAUCACUAAGGAUGGUGUUCUUAGCUUGUGGUUCAGGUGUCGCUUCUUUGCUACAGGUGUCAUGUUGGAUGGUGACUGGAGAAAGGCAAUCAGCUCGUAUCCGAAGUCUGUACUUAAAAGCAAUAUUGAGACAGGACACUGGCUUCUUUGAUACUGAAACAACGACUGGCGAGGUUAUUGGAAGAAUGUCAGGUGACACUGUUCUCAUUCAAGAUGCCAUGGGUGAAAAAGUUGGGAAGUUCAUACAACUAUCGUCAACAUUUUUUGGUGGCUUUAUAAUUGCUUUUGUAAGAGGCUGGCUUCUUUCUGUAGUUCUACUCGCUUGCAUUCCUCUUGUUGCAAUUGUUGGUGGAUUCAUGGCAAUGGUCAUGUCAAAAAUGUCAUGCCGUGGACAAAUUGCUUAUGCACAAGCAGGGAAUGUAGUAGAACAAACAAUUGGAGCCAUUAGAACAGUUGCAUCCUUCACAGGUGAGAAACAUGCAAUUAAGAAAUAUAAUGACAAACUAAAGGUAGCAUACAAAACAACUGUUCAACAAGGACUGGCCUCAGGCUUAGGAAUUGGAACAAUGUUGCUCGUUGUAUUCUCCACUUAUGCACUGGCCGUAUGGUAUGGAUCCAAAUUAAUCAUGAACAACGACUAUAAUGGUGGACAAGUAAUCACUAUUAUUAUGUCAAUUAUGACAGGUGGAAUGUCACUGGGUCAGACUUCUCCAUCCUUGAAUGCAUUUGCAGCAGGGCAAGCUGCCGCAUAUAAGAUGUUUGAGACCAUCAAUCGAAUACCAAAAAUCGAUCCCUAUGACACAAGUGGAAUGACAUUAAAAGGGGUCAACGGGGAUAUUGAACUCAAAGAUGUGUACUUCAGAUACCCUGCCAGGCCUGAUGUUCAGAUAUUCUCUGGAUUUUCACUGCAAAUUCCAAGCGGCAAAACUGUGGCUUUAGUCGGUCAUAGUGGAAGUGGGAAGUCAACUGUUAUUAGCCUAGUUGAGAGAUUUUAUGAUCCUGAUUCUGGUC
rnacentral:misc_RNA from 1 species